AGUGAACGCUGGCGGUAGGCCUAACACAUGCAAGUCGAACGGCAGCACAGUAAGAGCUUGCUCUUACGGUUGGCGAGUGGCGGACGGGUGAGGAAUACAUCGGAAUCUACUUUUUCGUGGGGGAUAACGUAGGGACACUUACGCUACUACCGCAUAUGACCUACGGGUGAAAUCAGUAGAUCUUCGCACCUUUCGCGUUUGUAUUAGCCGAUGUCGGAUUAGCUAGUUGGCGGGGUAAAGGCCCACCAAGGCGACGAUCCGUAGCGGGUCUGAGAGGAUGAUCAGCCACACUGGAACUGAGACACGGUCCAGACUCCUACGGGAGGCAGCAGUGGGGAAUAUUGGACAAUGGGCGCAAGCCUGAUCCAGCCAUACCGCGUGAGUGAAGAAGGCCUUCGGAUUGUAAAGCCCUUUUGUUGGGAAAGAAAAGAAGUAGGAUAAUACCCCGCUGUUCUGACGGUACCCAAAGAAUAAGCACCGGCUAACUUCGUG
rnacentral:rRNA from 1 species